CACAAUGUAGGAAAUAAUUACUCUUUUUGUCAAUAAUUGUCAACGUGCUGGGUGCUCAUUUAUUGCUAAGGGAGGGUGUGUGUGUGUGUGUGUGUGUGUGUGCGUCCGUGUGCGUGAGUGUGCGUGCGUAUAAGCAUAACCUGCGUUGUCUCAACAACACAGUCCCAGAUCAGACAUGAACUUGCAACCAGGGAGGUGAAGUCCGAGAAAUUCCUUCGAGUUCCUUGGAGUCUGUAGCCUAAAAACAGAGGACCACAUAGCCAGAGCAGUUCUCAGUUCCAGGUGCUCCUGUGUGAUGAUAAUUUCAGCGAGCCUAGACUCUGUUGUCUUUGACGGUGGUCUUCUUCCUACAACUGGUUUCUAGCCUCCUGAUUGGCUCCUCACCUCCUCUUUGAUGUUGGCUGGCUCCUUUCCCUCCCCAGAGGCACGUCUUCUCUCCUCCCUCUCCUCCUCUUCUCCUUCAGGCAGAUGAACG